UGGAGAUGGAAGACCAGGCCGAGGUGUGUGUGUGUGUCCAUCUGUCCAUCUGCUGUGCUUUGGUGAAGCACAGGCCAUGCUGAGCAUGAUGCCCUGGAAUUGCCAAAGAACAGUUCAAGGACAGCCAGACCAGGGAGGGCACCCGGAAGGAGGCUGUGCCUGGAGCCACUGCUUCCACAGCUGCCUGUCUCAUUUAGAGAGGACUCCCAAAUUGGGAAAUAUAAAAUAACUAAAGGAUUGCCUGGGACAUUUGGCAUCCCAGCGGCCAGUCCUCAGCGAUUGUGUCCUGACUGGUCUUUGAUUCUGAAAUAAACCCCAUCAAGAAGGCACGACCAGAGUUCUAGCCCUGUUUCGGCCAUGAUGUGGCUGUGACCUUGGGCAAGUUGCUUUUCCUCUGUCUGCCUCAGAGGUUCAGGCAGGUCCUUUCAUCUGGCUUUUGUGAUGUGGUCUGUGUGGCCAGUUGGAAGCAGGGCCUUGGUAAUGAUGUGGAAACUAGAGCUCUUUAAAGAGUGCAGGGGUCCUGAGACACCAGGGCCUCUUGGACACCUGACCGCCCCGCCCCCCAAGGCCGAUGAUAUUAAAGGGCUGUAAACAUCCCCCUGUGCACAUGGACACAGGGUUGUAUACAAGAAGUGGGACUCUUGAAUUCCUCCUUUCAUCUCUCUUGCCUGGGGCCCAGUUCACCUGGAGGGUCACCCAGCCUUCAGUCUAAUAGUUUACCCACCCAUGCAGUGCCCCCAUUCAUCCUUCAGCUAUAGCAGGGUGAGCUUCUUAGGCACAGCCAGGGCGGCCCCAGUGAGGAAAUCUUGCUUUGCUCCUUACUGGCCCUGGAAUUACUUCCACACUCCUUAGAACAGCCAAGAAGGUUGGCCUCUCCAGCUCCAUUCUCCACCUCCUCAUUCCUCUCUGUUUAAAGUAGAGCUUAAGAAACAAAAAAAAAACAAACCCAGUGCCAUCGAGUCGAUUCCGACUCGUAGCGACUGUAUAGGACAGAGUAGAACUACCCCCAUAGAGUUUCCAAGGAGCGCCUGGCGGAUUCGAACUGCUGACCCUUUGGUUAGCAGCUAUAGCACUUAACCAGUACGCCACCAGGAUUUAGUAAUUUUAAAAGCAGAGGCUCAGGAAUCAGGCAACUGGCUUCAAAUCCUGAGUCUGUCACUUCCUAGCUAUAUGACCUUAGGCAAGUUACUACAUAUCACUAAACCUUGGUUUCUUCAUCCUUAAAAAAGGGGAAACACCCUUUCUGUAGAACAUUGUGAAGGUUAAAUGAGUCACUUAACAUAGUUCCUGGAACAUAGUAAAUUUAUUAUUAUAAUUCUUAACGCACAUUUGCCUAUCACCUCCUACUUCCUCAAGCUUGUCACACCCUUUCCCAACUCUGUGCCUCCUCAUACCGGGAAAGCCCUUUUCCUUCCCAUUUCUUCACCCAGUAGGCUCCUACAUACCCUUUAAGGCCAUAUUCAAAUAUUGUUGCUUCUUGAAGAUUUUUUUGUCCCCGUCCCCAGUAGAGUUAAACCUUUACAUAUAAAGCAAUCUAGUACCUUCCUGUCUUCUGGUCGUUAAGGUUGUGUGUCAACUUGGCUGGGCUAUGAUUCUCAGUGGUUUGGCAGUUAUGAUGUAGUUUGGUGGUCAUAUGAUGAUGUGAUCACAUCCAUGGUGAGAAUUGAUAUAAUGUGAUCACCUUUGUGGUGGGAUCUGCUGUGAGUAGCCAGUCAGUUGAAAGGGAGUUUCCUUGGGGGGUGUGGCCUGCAUCUAAUAUAGGUGGACCAUCUGGCAAGGUUCCCAGGCUUUUGUUCCUUUUGGAUCCUGCAGCUGGCUCCUAUUCAUCUGGCCUCCGGUUCUUGGGACUUCAGCCAGCAGUUUACCUGUGGUCUUGCCUGCUGAUCUUGGGAUUUGUCAGUCUUCACAGCCUGUGAGCAAGAGCCGUGCUGUCUGACCCACCGAUCUUGGGUUCGCCAGCCCCUGUGGCUACAUGAAUCAGGAGAAGCCUCCAGCCUGACCCACAGACUUGGGAUGUUCCAGCCUCUACAGCCACGUGCUGUUGAGUCACUUCCAACUUAUAGUGACCCUAUGUACAACAGAAUGAAACAUUGCCUGGUCCUGCACCAUCCUCACAAUUGUUGCUGAGUUUGAGCCCAAUCGUUGCUACACUGCAGCCUCAGCAAAGACCAAUGAGGAGUCUCCCUAUUUUACAGAAGAGGAAAUGGAGGCACAGAGAAGUUUCGUGGCUUGCUCAAGCUCACACAACAAGGAGGUUGCAGAACUGGCAUUGCACCUAGGUAGCCUGGCUGGGAGCCCAGGCCCUUCUCUCCUAUGCUGUACUGACUCACUACACUGCACCAUGCUGCUGAUGAAAGAGCUCUCUAAGCAAUGGCAUUCAUUGGUCAGAUGAGCAGCCCUGAGAGGUGUUGAAGCCCCUGUUCAGAGUGCUUCACCAGGAAUCAGGGUGAUCACAGCUGGGGAAUGUUUAGAGGGCAGUCAGGCAGAGGGCUGGGUCAAGCGUCUUCAAAAGCCCUUUCCAACUCAGAGAUUCUAGAAUUUGAUGAAAUCUCUCAAAGCUUCCAGCCUUUCAGCUAAAGAUAAUGGUGAGACCUCCUCUUGGCUUAGGCUUUCAGAUUGGACAUCCUCUCCCAGCCUGCCCCUGCCUGUCUGCUGUCCUCUCCAUGCGGCACUGGGCUGUGUGAGCUGGGGAAAUGGGUGGCUGUGAAUGGAUCAUCCUGGAAAUCUGACAGCGUGGUCCCCAGCCUGGGGACUGGGGAGGAGGGACAAUAGAAUGCUAAAUUACAGGGUGUCUGCUGCCUGAUUAAAUCAGUGCACCGUGAUCAGCGCUGUAGAGACUCAAUGCCAGAUUCGCUCCUGGGCACAAGGCCCAGAUAUUAGUCACAGAUGCACAGUCAGAGUUUGAAGGGCUCUCAGCAGGCACCUCAUCUAACUACUUCAUUUCGCGUAUGAGGAAACAAGGCCCAGAGAGGGAAGCAACUUGCAGAGGGCACACAGCAUUUAUUCCACAAUUAUUGUGUAUCUUCUGUGCCAAACAGUAGCUUGGCACUGAGGAUACUAAGGGUAGCAAGACAGCCAUGAUCUUUAGUCUCGCCGAGAUUACAUAUUAGUGGAGGAAAUGAGCAAAAAGCAGGUAGUCACAUAAAAUCAGAGAUUGUGAUCUGGGCUAUGAAGAGCACAGAGCAAGGGAGGCCUCUCUGAGAAGGGACCAUUUAAGUUGAAGCUUGAAGGAUGAGAAGUUUGUGGUAUGUGUGUGGUGGGAAGAGGGGAAGGGUUCCAGACAGCAGGAAUGCUAUGCCCUAGGGCCCCCAGGCUGGAAUGAGCUUUGUGUGUUUGAGGGGCUAGCAUAUGGCAGGGAAGGGAGGUCAGGAGGUAGAGGGAGUCUGGAGCACACAGGGUCUUCUGGGCUGACAUGAGAGGUUUGGAAUUUAUUCUUGCUACAAUAGAAAGCUGUUAGAGGGUUUGAUGCAAAAGAGUGGCAGAGGUGCUGGCACACCUCCUGCUUUUCCCUUUGAGGGUCUCCCUGGGAGGCUGGCAGAAAACACACCAAGCAAUGCUACCCACAGAAGACGGGCCUGCUUUUCCUUGCCUCUAGCAAUCUCUAUGCACUUUACGAACAUUAGGUAAAACGGGGCUACUCAUGUUCAUUUGAAGUCUCUUCUUCCUAUCAUGUACGGCGAACAGACCUUGAGACCCAAGUGCUGUGGGACCAGGGUCAGAUUACUCAGUAAGCAAGGUAAGCACAGGCUUACUUGUGCUUACUUUCCAAUCCCUAGUGAACAAUCUCACAUGUUUUUAACCAU